ACACAUGCAAGUCGAACGAGAGAGAGGGAGCUUGCUUCCUCAACCGAGUGGCGAACGGGUGAGUAACGCGUGAGGAACCUGCCUCAAAGAGGGGGACAACAGUUGGAAACGGCUGCUAAUACCGCAUAAGCCCACAGCUCGGCAUCGAGCAGAGGGAAAAGGAGCAAUCCGCUUUGAGAUGGCCUCGCGUCCGAUUAGCUAGUUGGUGAGGUAAUGGCCCACCAAGGCGACGAUCGGUAGCCGGACUGAGAGGUUGAACGGCCACAUUGGGACUGAGACACGGCCCAGACUCCUACGGGAGGCAGCAGUGGGGAAUAUUGCACAAUGGGGGAAACCCUGAUGCAGCGACGCCGCGUGGAGGAAGAAGGUCUUCGGACUGUAAACUCCUGUUGUUGAGGAAGAUAAUGACGGUACUCAACAAGGAAGUGACGGCUAACUACGUGCCAGCAGCCGCGGUAAAACGUAGGUCACAAGCGUUGUCCGGAAUUACUGGGUGUAAAGGGAGCGCAGGCGGGAAGACAAGUUGGAAGUGAAAUCUAUGGGCUCAACCCAUAAACUGCUUUCAAAACUGUUUUUCUUGAGUAGUGCAGAGGUAGGCGGAAUUCCCGGUGUAGCGGUGGAAUGCGUAGAUAUCGGGAGGAACACCAGUGGCGAAGGCGGCCUACUGGGCACCAACUGACGCUGAGGCUCGAAAGUGUGGGUAGCAAACAGGAUUAGAUACCCUGGUAGUCCACACCGUAAACGAUGAUUACUAGGUGUUGGAGGAUUGACCCCUUCAGUGCCGCAGUUAACACAAUAAGUAAUCCACCUGGGGAGUACGACCGCA
rnacentral:rRNA from 1 species